rnacentral:rRNA from 1 species
UACGGGGGGGGCAAGCGUUUGUUCGGAAUUACUGGGCGUAAAGGGCUCGUAGGCGGCCAACUAAGUCGGAUGUGAAAUCCCCAGGCUUAACCUGGGAACUGCAUCCGAUACUGGAUGGCUUGAAUCCGGGAGAGGGAUGCGGAAUUCCAGGUGUAGCGGUGAAAUGCGUAGAUAUCUGGAGGAACACCGGUGGCGAAGGCGGCAUCCUGGACCGGCAUUGACGCUGAGGAGCGAAAGCCAGGGGGAGCAAAACGGGG